rnacentral:tRNA from 2 species
AAGCUUGGUUGGGAACAAAGCGGGGCUGCUAACUUCGUUUUGGGUAGUUCAACUCUAUCCUGAGCUUU